rnacentral:lncRNA from 1 species
GGCACAUAGAAAUUCCCAGGCUAGGGGUGGAAUCAGUGCUACGGCUGCCGAACUAUAUACCACAACUCAUGGCAACACUAGCUCCUUAACCCACUGAGCAAGGGCAGGGACCGAACCCGCAACCUCAUGGUUCCUAGUCGGAUUCGUUAACCACUGCGCCACGACGGGAACUCCUGCUUUGGAAUCUUAAACCCACUUUUUUUUUGGUUUAGUGAUCAUUAACUAAUAUCUGAUAUUAUACCUUCAACUCACCCAGAAAAGUCUUAACCUUUGCAACAAUAAUCAUAAUACAGAAAGAAAUGUUUGGUUGUUCUUAGAUUCAAAAUGCGUUAAUCUAAAAUUUUGUUUUGACAGUGAUCCCAGUGUAGCUGUGGGAAGGCAUGCCUGAAUUUCUUCAGGCCAAAUUUAAUAGGCUACUGGUAUUCAUCAAAUGACAUCCAGUUCCAUUAGUAAUCUUACUGUUCACCUCUCAGUGAAGUAUUGCUAAAAAAUUGAUUUUUCAACCUAUAUAAAUUCCUGAAGAAACAAGUCGUGCCAUUCUAGCUUCAAAUGCCAGCCUCUAACAAGUUCUUUUUGGCUUGCUAGAAGAAGUGUAUGUUUACCUUCUCAAUACUGCUUAUGAUUUUCUUUGGCCUCAAAACGUAGUUUCUGGAGUUCCCUAUGGCUUAGUAGGUUAAGGACCUGGUGUUGUCACUGUUGUGUCUCUGGUCAUUGCUGUGGCUCAGGUUCUAUUGCUGGCCUGAGAACUUCUGCAUGUCAUGGGUACGGUCAAAAAAGAAAGCAAAACAAAAUAUAAUUUCCUCUAGCCCUCCUAAUUUUUUUUUAUCAUUUUAAUUGCCCUUUCCAGAGCAAUCUCCACCUACUUUAUUAUAUUUUCUUUAGUUGGAGCAAUGAGAAUUACACAUAAGUUUUCUGAGUGCAAUUUGCAUAAAGAAGGAAAGCCCAUAUCUGCUUUGUUUCCAGAAAACUGGCUUGUAAUAGUCAGCAUUAUGUUACCUUUUUUUUCAGCCACACCCUUGGCACGUGGAAAUUCCUGGGCCAGAGAUCAAUCCUCAGCUGUAGCAGUAACCUGAGCCACAGCAGUGACAAUGCUAGAUCCCCAACCACUAGGCCACCAGGGAACUCCUAUGUUGCCAAUCUUUAAAAAGUCACGAAUAGAAUGAGAUCCUCCCUUAUAGACAGCUUGGUUAGACAAAGAAAACUAAAAGGCAGUAUUACACUACAUCAAAGUCUUUUCAUAGUAUAAUUUCUAUUUCAAUAGGCUGCAAUGUGGUCCCCUUGAAGCCAAGGACCUUGCCUAUCUUGUUUCACUAUUGCUGAGUCGUAGCUUCUACAGUAGGGCUUAGUAUGUAGCAGGCUCUCCAUGCGUGCUUGUGAAAUGAAUCGAUGAUUAAAUAUAUUGAGUGUCCCUAGAAGAACUCCUAGGCUUACACAUGGAGAUAUAGCAAUGCGAAUUGAGGAAGAGAAAUUAUUUUGUGACUCUUUAAUUUACCUUUCCCAAUUUGAUAAUCUUGCAAAGUUGAUCUCAUAUUUAAAGGAACCGGAAACUUUUCUUGACAACCUAACUCUAAAAAAAAAAAAAAAUUGGGGCUGAUUUUUGCCAAAAGGCGGGGUGGUACAGUAAUUAAUGUUUGAAAGUUACAGAAACAUGCUCACGGCUUAUUUCUUGCAACACUCCAAGCAACAGCUCUAUAUCAUUUCAAAUCUCUGGAAACUUAGCAAAUUAUACUAAUUUCCUAUAGAAUGUUUUCACAAGAGGACUUUCAUCGGACUUUUUCUGUAUUUUUAUUUCAAUGUUUGCAAACAAAAAUAUGUUUAUUUAAUACAUGUGUAACUUCAGAUUUAAACAGGAAAUAAAGUUUAACAUUAUGCUCUUGAUUUGAUGAUAGGCAAAUAUAAUAAUAUUUAUAACAAGUAUGUUUAGGUGGUUUUGCAAAAAUGCUAUCAAACACGCUGUUCACUAUAUCGCUAAGCCCUGACAUAAUGAGCAGGAAUCCACUCUUCUUUGAAUUUACAGCAGGAAGAGAAGUCUUUUUCCUCUCUUGAAGAAUUGGUAUAGAGGAUUUCCUUUUAUUCCUAUUUUUUAUAUUUAUUUACUUCCAGGAAGGUGAGUAUUAGGAUGUGCACUCAGCCUAUGAUUAAUUUUUUUGAUAAAUUGUUCACACUCUUCUCUUGAUCUUUUAAUUUGGCUUUUAAACAUUUGCUUUUGCAAAUUUCUUCCAUUUUAAGCUACCUUAAAUAUUUUAUGAGAGGAAAUGAAGUGCAUUAAAACAAGCAAGUUCUGGAUAUUCUUGGGAAACUUGCAGAAAACUUAGUAAAAAUACUGCACUUCGUCUGAGCCUCAGUGCCUUCAUCCAUAAAGUGCGGCUAAAGUAUGCACUUCACAGAGUUACUGGAAAGGUUGAGAGAGGUAAAAGUAAAGGGUUUUAGAACAUUUGUGAGUAAAUGGAAGGGGCUCAGUAAGUGUUUUCUAAGCAGAUCCUAUAAUAACAAAUUCAUUCCACAUUUCUAGAAGUAGGAGAACUCAAAGUCGUUGGCAUCAGCAAACUGAUCACCACAAGAAAGAAAGAGUUAUAUAAUUUAACAUAAAAAUUAAAAUAUCACCCUAUACAUAUUACUUUCUCUUAAAACAAUUUUUAAUUGCCCACUUUGAAACUUAAAAAACCUUAGGGGAAAGAUAAUUUCUGUAACGUCGCCUAUAACUUUUUGUUCAAGACUUGAUGUUUUGUUGCAAGAUAUAAACUUGAAAAUGUCACCGUAUUUAACUAUGUUAAGAUUCUGUGUAAAAUAUGAUCAAAACUACUUACUACUUCAGUAUUCUUUCAAAAGUAUCAUGCUAAGUAUCAUGCAAAGGAAUAUGACAGAUUGUUCCUACAUUAGUUUCUUUGGUGGUGGUUUGAUUCCAAGUUUCAUUCAAGAUGCAGCUGGGACUAAUAGAAUAAAUACCUACAAUAAAAAUCAUU